GGAAGUAAAAGUCGCAACAAGGUUUCCGUAGGUGAACCUGCGGAAGGAUCAUUAUUGAAUGAAACACUUCUGGCUUUAUGCUGUUGUGCUGGCCCUUUGGGCAAUGUGCACACGGCUCUGGUCACUUGUUUCUUCUGUUCCACCUGUGCACUGCCUGUAGACACGCUGUGUCUAUGAUAUUUGUUAACACACAACAAUGUUAGUUGGCAUGUUAUAUAUAAUAAUAAAAUAUACAACUCUCAACAACGGAUCUCUUGGCUCUC
rnacentral:misc_RNA from 1 species